AUCCAGCUGACGAGUCCUGAAUAGGACGAAACGCGCAUCCUGGAU
rnacentral:hammerhead_ribozyme from 1 species